CUACUCAUGUUCUUCCACGUUUCAGAGACAUGCUGUUCAGACAGAUUCCCUUCAGUGUGUGAUGGCAUGCGUGCGCAUCCUGUGAUGGAGAGACAUCCGGUGCAAGCGAUCACUUGUCAUCAAGCGGGUGAAAAAGUGAACACCGGGGAAGAGAAACAACAAUGGAGCUAUGCAGGUGACACAUCAGGCUUACAUUGACAUUUCUUUAUUUAUUUAGCAGACACUUUUCUCCAAAGUGACUUCCAAUGAACUCUAUUUAGUGUUACCAGUCCACACAUCUUAUUCACUAAGGUGACUAACACUGCUGGAUACAUUACUUACACUGGGUCACUCAUCCAUACAUCAGUAGAACACACUCUCUCUGUCACUCACACACUAUUGGUGAACCUGAGCAGCAUGUCUUUGGACUGUGGGAGGAAACCAGAGCACCCAGUGGAAAAAUAGACACAGGGAGCACAUGCAAACACCACACAGACUGAAUGGGGAUCAAACCCACAUCCUCUUGCACCACCCAGGUUCUAUGAGGAAGCUGUGCUACUUGGUGUGCCACUGUGCCACCGUGCCACCGGACUUCAAAACCUCUUUUGACUUUAGCUGGGUUGUUGAUCUUGGGGGUUUGAUUCUUGCUUAGGGUGUGACUGCUUCAUAUCCCAGAUAUGGGAUUUGGUUUUCUUUUUAAAAUUUCAGAGUGAAAUUUACCAAACUAGCAUGUUAUAGUAGUUAGAGCUACUGUCCUUGGAUCUGAAGAUUGGAGGUGUGAGACUGAAGAGAGGACACAAGAGAGAUUGGAGGAGAUUGGACCCAAGUGCAAAUGAGUUUGUUAGAAGUUGGAGGGCAAGGCUGGAAGUCAUAGUCGGGGACAGUCGAAGGGUCAGGCGACCGGCAGUCAGAGUACGAGUGAGGAUCUGAAGAUGCUGUAGGGCGAUGAGAUGAGGAGUCAGGGGCCAGGAUACGAAGAAGAGGUUGCGAGAGCGAAGGGGAGCUGGACAUUGAAUGCAGUAAGAGCAAGCACAAAGGGGACAGUUGUCUCAAAUGAGAUUCCGUGGAGAAAGGGUGGUGG
rnacentral:lncRNA from 1 species